ACUAUUUACGAAAUACAUGCCUACAUUAUAUUUAUGAACUGGAGCUAGUUCCGUAUCGCCCUAGGUUAUGAUUGUCAUAUGAUGAAUAUCAUCCAACAAAUUACCAAUCCAAUGCCUAUGAAUUUAUCUUAUAUUGUUCUUGCUAAGUUACUACUGCUAUCAUUACUGUUGCACUUGCUACAAAAAAUAUUGCUAUCACUGUUACCGUUACUAUUGCUGUUGUCACUACUAUCAAAACUAUCAUAUUACUUUUCUACUGAUCACGUUGUUGUGGAUAAUUAAUCUUCAGGUGUGGUUGAAUCGACAACUCAGCUGCUAAUACUUGCAAAAAUUCUUUGGCUCCCCUUGUGUCGAAUCUAUAAAUUUGGGUUGAAUACUCUACCCUCGAAAAUUGUUGCGAUCCCCUAUACUUGUGCGUUAUCAAGACCUUUUUCUGGCGCCUUUGCCGGGGAGCAUAGCUAUAUUUGUUGAGUCGCUUUGGAUUAUUAUCAAUUUAUCACUAUGAAGAAUCUGAAGGAUGCUAAGACUAAGAUUUAUCCCUCUAAGACGAGGGGAGGAGAAGGCAUGCUGAAAUAUUCAUUAUCACUAGUGGGAUUGAUGUAGCGAUCCAGGAAGAAGUCGCUGAUAAAUCUCUGAACCAUGAGCAAUUCACCAGCCAUGAGCCGUUCAGGGGUCCUCGGUGUUAAUAUGAGUUGCGGUAUUUUAAAGAUCAGAAUGUGCCAUAUGAGUGGAGUACAAGAUAUUAAUUAAGAUAGACUUACUGGUACUAAUUCUCUAGGAUCGUCACAACUAUCAACAAAUUUGCAGAUGGAGAUCAUGUGUCUGCAAACAUAAUAUCCACAAAGGUUGGUCCCUGCUUCUUGCUAAGGACACUGAAAUUUUUUGUACAGAAUUAGUCAUGUAUUUGUCCUGUUAGGAAGAACUUAACCGGUGUUAGAUGUAUUAUUUUUUCUUUGCACAAAAUAGAAAGAGGUUUAUUUAGAAGCUUUAACAUUUGACUAGUGUAAGGAAAGGUAUUUGCAGACUGUUGGAUAACUUUCCCAAAAUAACGGAUUUCGGUGUGUUACCGGAGAAAUGAUCUUGUGCUGCACGGGUA